rnacentral:tRNA from 1 species
GGCUCCGUAGCUCAGUUGGUUGGAGCGCCAGUCUAGUAAACUGGAGGUCGCGAGUUCGAAUCUCGCCGGAGCCU